rnacentral:rRNA from 1 species
CUCGUAGGUGGCCAACUAAGUCAGACGUGAAAUCCCUCGGCUUAACCGGGGAACUGCGUCUGAUACUGGAUGGCUUGAGUUUGGGAGAGGGAUGCGGAAUUCCAGGUGUAGCGGUGAAAUGCGUAGAUAUCUGGAGGAACACCGGUGGCGAAGGCGGCAUCCUGGACCAACACUGACACUGAGGAGCGAAAGCCAGGGAGCAAACG